UACGUAGGGGGCAAGCGUUGUCCGGAUUCAUUGGGCGUAAAGAGCGUGUAGGCGGCCAGACAAGUCUGCUGUGAAAACUCGAGGCUCAACCUCGAGCUGUCGGUGGAAACUGUCUGGCUAGAGUCCGGAAGAGGAGAGUGGAAUUCCUGGUGUAGCGGUGAAAUGCGCAGAUAUCAGGAAGAACACCCGUGGCGAAAGCGGCUCUCUGGAACGGUACUGACGCUGAGACGCGAAAGCGUGGGGAGCGAACAGG
rnacentral:rRNA from 1 species